rnacentral:rRNA from 1 species
CCUACGGGAGGCUGCAGUGAGGAAUAUUGGUCAAUGGGCGGAAGCCUGAACCAGCCAAGCAGCGUGCAGGAUGACGGCCCUACGGGUUGUAAACUGCUUUUAUACGGGACUAACGCGCCUUACGUGUAGGGCUUUGCAUGUACCGUAUGAAUAAGGACCGGCUAAUUCCGUGCCAGCAGCCGCGGUAAUCCGGAAGGUCCGGGCGUUAUCCGGAUUUAUUGGGUUUAAAGGGAGCGUAGGCCGCAUGUCAAGCGUGCUGUGAAAUUUCCGGGCUCAACCCGGGCCUUGCAGCGCGAACUGGCGUGCUUGAGUGCGCGGAAGGCAGGCGGAAUUCGUCGUGUAGCGGUGAAAUGCUUAGAUAUGACGAAGAACCCCGGUUGCGAAGGCAGCUUGCUGCAGCGGAACUGACGCUGAUGCUCGAAAGCGCGGGUAUCGAACAGGAUUAGAUACCCGGGUAGUC